rnacentral:rRNA from 1 species
UACGAAGGGAGCUAGCGUUGUUCGGAAUCACUGGGCGUAAAGCGCACGUAGGCGGAUUGUUAAGUCAGGGGUGAAAUCCUGGAGCUCAACUCCAGAACUGCCUUUGAUACUGGCGAUCUCGAGUCCGGGAGAGGUGAGUGGAACUGCGAGUGUAGAGGUGAAAUUCGUAGAUAUUCGCAAGAACACCAGUGGCGAAGGCGGACUCACUGGCCCGGUACUGACGCUGACGGUGCGAAAGCGUGGGGAGCAAACAGGGAGUUAAGAAACCCCAUGAGAACCAGUUCGACGAACCAACGAUCUCCUUCGU